UACGUAGGGUGCGAGCGUUGUCCGGAUUUAUUGGGCGUAAAGGGCUCGUAGGCGGCGUGUCGCGUCGGGAGUGAAAGCCCGUUGCUUAACGGCGGGUUGGCAUUCGGUACGGGCAUGCUGGAGUGCGGCAGGGGAGACUGGAAUUCCUGGUGUAGCGGUGGAAUGCGCAGAUAUCAGGAGGAACACCGGUGGCGAAGGCGGCCUGCUGGGCAGUGGCUGACGCUGAGGCGCGACAGCGUGGGGAGCAAACAGG
rnacentral:rRNA from 1 species